GGUAUAUGGUGACGACGUCUUCGCCGGACGCAGAUUGUUGUUGUUUGUGGCAGUUCCGCGCGGAUCAAACAAAUAGUAUGUCAGCGUGUAGAUGCGCAGGCAGAUACAAAACGCGGCGUGCGGGCACUAAAGUUCGUGACCUGUGAUGGGUCGCGGCAAAUUCGGAAUAGACCGGGGGGAAUGAGGGAGAGGCGGAAAACCAAAAACGGCGAGACACAAACUAAGGCUCAAAUAAAUGACGAGUCGAGCGAAAUACGUGAUUAAACUUUUCCAAU
ensembl:ncRNA T14F9.17 ncRNA